AGACAAACAUCCUAUGGAGCCUUAAAUCAGUCAUCCAAAGCCUUCGAGAUCGGAAGAUUACAUCGCAUGAAGCCUCUUCACCUCUCUCUCAUAAGCUGCUUCCAUGUCGGUCUUCUCCUUGGCGAGCUGUUCAUAUCUCUUUUUCCCAACCUAGACGAGUGAGGCAAGAGAGAGAAGUUAACACAUUCGGCUCAUCAAUAACCUGGAUGCUCUAGAAACUCGAUCAUUGCCAUCUUAUCCCUUGAGCCCUGACUGAAGACUCCCUGCGCGAUCCGAACCUUAGCACCUGCGAAAAAUCUUUGUCUCUCAACUUCCUCUACUCCUUGAUUGGGAGGGUUGAAGGCCCCAUAAUCAUAGGGGUAGGUCUCGGAUAUGCGUACGACAUGCAUACUCGAGGGAUCUCUUCCUUACCCAACGGUGUAAGGCUCAAGCGACACAGUUCUUCGGACCAAGCUUCCUCUCCUUUCCUAUGAACCUUGGCCAGGGCGCGGACAACCUAUCCUUCAAGUUUUGGGCAUCUAUACCCUCUUGAAAGAAUUUUUCCAACAAAAUGUUUGUUAGGUUUAUGCUUUAAGGGCGAACCAAGCUGACGGCGAGCCAAACAGGGUUGUAGUUAAUUCACCAAUUGCCAAGAUAAGGUACGAUUGGAGAACUCACCAUAAAGAAUCAAUAAUCUGAACGUCAUCAUAAACACGUAUACCAAAAGAUACAUUAUGUGAGCCAUAAGUCUCGUGGACCACCGUAGACAUCCCUUUUCUCCUUGAAGGCAAAGCGUCUGAGAGCAAUGUGAAAAUAACCACUUUUACAACAGAGGCAGACAGUAUACAAAGGGAACUUACCACCCUUUGCAUUCCUAUAUGAAAGGAAAUAAGUGUCACCCAACAGAGUCGGAACAGGAUUAAGAGAAGGAGAAAUCCUAGAAUGCAUUCACAUCCACGAAGUUGUCGAUGUUGGGAAUAACACCUAGCCAUAGUAGUGAGGAGUACAAUAUGGCUUCAAAAGCUUCCUUACUCAUGGCCUUCCCAAUCAAAGUAGCACUUGGCAACUCAGAGAAAUCGCGGGAGAGACCUUUGAAUUUCACCUUUGGUAGUCUAUUCGCAACAAUGUCGGAUACCUCCACAUGAAGCAGUUAGCAAUCUCUUGAGAAGCGAAUCUUCUCCAAACCCUGAAUGGAACACGGCUCAAGAAUAGGUUAUACCCACUUGAUAAUCAUGUACUCCGCCAAUGUAGGAAAAAGCUGGAAUCCGGAAAGAGUGAAGCACCGAUACAGAGGAUCGGUAGAACUGCACCAACACACUCAUCAGACUCAUCUACCUUAGGUAGAGAUAGAUGAACGAUGAAGCUUCCCAUGGCAGCUUGAAAUCAAAUUGGGUCUCUCAUACAUGUAUAGAUUUCAGAGCCUUAAACUCUCUCAAGUCGGUUGUCUGAAAUGUACUUCUUGUAUCCUCUUUUUAAUCAUGUCUGAAAAUUGCAGUAGACAUUUAAGUUCCUUGUUAAAAUCUUAUUGUUGUGACAUAGAAUACGGUAAUCCAUGAAUGGGCAUGGAGCAAAAACACACUCAGGAUCAAGCAAUCACACCACACCAAAGUACGGAGAUGGCUCAGUCUAUCGUAACAUCAAUCAUCCUUUUGGAUGGAUGUAUGUUUACACUUUCAACCAAGUUCAUUUUGAGUUUGAGAUAUCCAGAACGAUCAAACCGGCGAAUCACGAGUUUGUUUGUGAAUGUACAGGCAUGGAGUUGGUUAGUAACUCACCAACAGGAUGUGCUUACUAUGUUAAACCUGGUCAAUCAUGUUCUAAAAGGUUCCUAGCAUCUAUACCAUCUUCGUAUUAUCGGAUUAAAACGACUACUCUGUCUUCCAAAAAAAAAAAAAAAUUUCUCAAGAGGACUCUAUAAUGUUUAGAUCCAGCAUACAAAUCGCUCAAUACACUGAACGAACUUCGCAUAGUCCUAAAUAAGGACAGAUGUGCGUAGUGUAUCUAAGGUCUUGGUUUCUAUGGGUUCCUAUUGAAGAGUACAUGACUAACACGAUCUACUCGUUGACAUUAGUGAUUCCAGUAAGACUUACACAGUGAAGUGACUUGCACAAGUUAACUUGUUCAGGGAUAACCCACACAAGUCAAAAGACUCUUGCCAUUCUCCUAUUCAUCAAGUGCUCGAUUUCAGGGAUUAGAAUCAUCUCACAAGAACCACAGCAUCAAGCAAUAUACUCAGCAAUUCAUUACACUACAACAAUUACAUUCAGGUCUCAAUUUGCACAAAAUGAUAUGCCCAGAAAAUAUUAAGACAUACACCUUAUACAAGUCAAAAGAUAGGGCUAAACCCACGGCACUGUAUCUCGCCACAGACGCUCACUUCUUGCAUAGCGGUUUUCGUUAGCUUUAGUUUUUGUCUAAACAAAGUCAGAUGACAUUCAGUCGCCCGCACUUUUAUUUAGUCAAGGAAAGGCUAAAAAUGAACAAAGCCAGUAAGAAGUUUAUCUCAAAUCAAACUAAUAAAUGUCAGAGAUCUAGUAGGGGUUCGUUUGAAAUGGGAAGGUUUUACGACCAAACAUCCUUAGUACUCUAAGGAACCCUUCUUUGCAAUAUGUGUUGGUUGAGUUAUAUUGUGAAAAUUUGUGCAACAGAUGGAGGAUGAAGAGAAAUAGUUAUAUUUACAAUGUUAUUGUGUGAAUGGUAUACCCUGCGACUACGUACCAUACCAAAGGAGGAUCAAAACUCUUAGUUCGGGGUGGCAAAAAUUUAAUAGAUUGGUGAAUUAUUAAAUCAAAUCUCUAAUCUUUUAUUACUCAAAGGGAGAAAACGAACAACACCAGCACCAUUGAGAUAGGCUUCGAACAUACAUGGCUAGUGAAAGGUUAACCCUAUAUAGAUUAGAUGAAGCUUAUAAGUCCACACUAAGGAGUGAAGGUGGAUUUAAUCAACCACCAUUGAUAACUCAACCUUGACUAAUGUUUUCUGAAAAGGUCUUACAAAGUGCCAUUGGAACAUAAAACAUUUGAAAAUGGGGUAUAUCGUUACAACUUCGUUUAUGUAUACAAUUGAAGUCAAGUUGGAUUUAAGUUUAUUUACAAUGAUAUUUAUUGAAUGCUUUUUGAAGUCAAAGCUUACCCUAGGUUUCUUAAUUUGAAAUAAAGUCAAAGUUAUUGAAAAAUGUUUUGGCUUCUUAAGUGGGGGAGGAGAAACCUCUUCCUAGCAAACAAAAGACAAGAGUGGAAGACAACCCUUGGUAGUUCUUUUUCUUGAGUUUAUAGAUGACUCAAGCUGCCUCCUUGCUUACACACAACAAGCAUCAAUAGUUGAAUUCAGCUUCUAGGAUCUCAAUUUGCUGCUUCUUCACUGGUCUAUGACAUGGUCCUCUUUUCCAUUUAAGAUGGAUCCGUAUCAACAAAAGAAACAUCAAAAGAUCACACCAAAAGUAUGACUAGUAGUUUUGAGGAUAGUCUUUUAUACCUGUUUAAUUUUGCAUUUUAAAUGGUAUGAGGGCCUAGUUGCUCCUUGCAAAAAUUUUGCAUUCUAUAAUGAUUGGGCUAGUUGCUCUUGAACUCUUAUAGAUCAUGGUAAUCUAUCUAAGUGUUUUCUUAUUUCUUUUUGUUCACCAUCAAAACAUCCAACACAAAUAGAAUUUAUAUUAUAUCUAUAUGGCUCAAUGAGCAAAGAAAUUGCGCAUAACAUAAUAUUGUGUAAUAGUGCUAGCAAAGAUGAAACAAGAUGGAAAUAGCGAGAAGUAAUGACUUAAAUUAAAAUGACAGUUUAAAAGCUCAUUACUUAGUAGUUGUAGAGUUAUGUUAGUUGUCAUAAGACAAUAUGUAGCGCUAUGUUAAGCAUCGGUAAGUGCUAAUUUAUUAGUAACCUACUGAGCGCAUGAUUAUAGAAGACACAGUUAAGAUCAUGACUAGUAAGCCAGCUCCUAAACUUGUUAUGUUCACCAAAAGGAAGCUUAUUGAUUUUGGUUAUUUGCUGACAAGAGUACUAUCUUGACACAAUCUCAUUGAUCAUGUAUCAAGUUUGAUUUGCGUUUGAUCAAGAAGAUUAAAUCCUUUUCAGACACUCGCUUUAAUAUGUUAUUGAUGAAAGAAAGGCCAUGAAUAUAAGGGAGGUAAGCUAUACAAUCCAAUGAUCAAGGUAAUAAUCCUUCUCAAAUCAUUAUCUUUAGUGAUGAUUUAGGUUUUUCUACAAAAUUCAAUGAUUUGUAAGUGAUCUCGAGUGCUGGUCGCGAGACCAUGUCUUUUCCAGGUUUACUUCGAGCGUUUCCUUUCCCUCUUUUGGGAUAAAUAACGCACGGUGGCGGCUCUGUUGUCUUGUUUUCCCGCCGGUUUUUCGCGUAAUGCGACAAUAUGCCACGUCCAACACCCUUUGCAAUGCUUCACGAUGUGGCUCUGAAUUCAUCAACAAAGAUAGGACAGAUAUCUUUGAUGGAGUUUGAAGCAACUACUCCACAAUGUUGUACUCGCUCCUCUUGAUGAGCCUCAGCAUCUCAUCAUCGUCCUCUCUCAACAUGCCAGACUGGCCAACCAGGAUAGGAGAUUUAUCAGUUUUGACAACAACAGGGUCAACACCCUUCACAGCAGGAAUAGAAUGAUUCGAAGAAGAAGUCCCCACAGGACCGGCAGGAUUGACAACAUUUUUUUUUCACGACGUCUUCAUGGGAUUUUGGCUGAGCCGAGAAAACACGACCACUGCGGGUCACUCCACUAACAUCGGAAAUGCUUACAACAGAGGUUGAGGGCAACGGCAUCUCCUUCCCAUUUUCUAGCAUAACAGCAUUAUAACGGUACGGGACCGCUUUAUCUGAUACAUACGGGGCAGGGCCCGCUGGCUUAAUCACAAGAGUUGGCACCACCUUUUUCUUGCUGCCAUCAUACUUAAUGACAACAGGGUCAUGAAUAUUGAAUACGGAAGUGAUAACAUCAACUUCAUCCUCAUUACAAUUUUGAAGUAUCUCAAUUAUCCCUUGGUCUAGCAUUUCUUGGAUGUCCUUUCUUAUCUUGCGGCAUCCUCUUUCAUUGAUAGUGCACUCAUGGCAUCUAUCAUGAUCGUGCUCAUAAUGAUUGUGCUCACAUAACAGCUUAUUCAUCUCUACCAAGGAUUGUCUUAUGUCAUUCACAUAAAGGACUUUAUAUUUUCCAGGACAUCCCUGGACCAUGUUGACAGCUGCCUUCCCAUGCUCGGGCAAUGGGUUCUUCUUAAAAUUCGGGCCUACAUCCUCAAAGAAUAGUAUCCCACUCCUCACAAGGUCUUGCACCUUGGUCUUCAACGGAAAACAGUUCUCCACGUCAUGUCUGGGAGCACCGAAAUGAUACACACAAUGAAGUUCAGGCUUGUACCACCAUUGAGGAUUGGCUGGCACAGCAGGAGGAUCACGUGGAGUUAUCAACUUCCUAUCGAUUAAGGAAGGAUACAAUUCAGCGUAGGUCAUAGGAAUUGGGUCAAAAGUCCCCCUCUUCCUGUCAUAGUUGUUGGUGUUGUUGUUGUUAUUGUUGCGAGGCUGGUAAGCCUAUUAUUGUUAACAAGAUUGUUGUUGUGGUGGUUGAGCUUCUCUGAAAGCAGGUGCUAUAUGAGCCACCUGGUGUUGGUUGACGGUUGUUCUCACUUCCUUCCUCCUCACAGAGGGCUUUCUCUUGCUAUGGGAAGAAACAGCAUGAGUCUCCCCUACCUUCUUCCUAGUAAAUCCUCCAUAUUUCUUUGCCGAAGAAUCAUCACGGGACAGACGUCCUUCACGGACUCCCUCUUCUAGCCUCAUCCCCAUAUUUACCAAUUCAGUAAAGUCCGAGGGAGCACUAGAAAUCAUGCGCUCAUAGUAGAAAGAGCUCAAAGUCUUCAGAAAGAUCUUUGUCAUCUCCUUCUCCUCCAAGGGUGGCAUUAUUUGAGCUGCCAAUUCUCUCCACCUCUGGGCGUAUUCCUUGAAGGUUUCUUUAUCUUUUUGGGAUAUCGCCCUCAAUUGAUCUCUGUCCGGAGCCAUGUCCAUGUUUUAUUUAUACUGUUUCACGAAAGCCUCUCCUAAAUCGUUGAAAGUGCGGAUGCUUGCACUCUCUAGCCCCAUAUACCACCGGAGCGCAGCACCUGUCAUGCUAUCUUGGAAAUAGUGAAUCAGUAGUUGAUCAUUAUCUGUCUGGGUCUACAUCUUGCGGGCAUACAUCACAAGAUGACUGAGUGGACACGAAUUUCCCUUGUACUUCUCAAAGUCAGGCACUUUGAAUUUAACUGAGAUUUUCACGUUGGGCACUAAGCAUAGUUCAGCAGCACUCUUCCCAAACAGAUCUUUGCCUCUCAGCGUUUUUAGUUUCUUGCGCAGCUCAAGGAAUUGAUCCUUCAUCUCAUCCAUCUUUUCAUAAAUGUCCGGGACCUCAGAUGGCUCGGAGUGAUAGAUGGUGUCUUCAACACGCGGCAAAGUGUGCACAACGGGAGGUGGCACAGACAUGACUGGGCUAGAUGUCGGCAUAGAAGCAAAAGUGGGAGCGAAACCCUCUAGCACAAAAUUGGGUGGCAUUCCCCAAGGGAAUCCAGCAGGCAGAUUCGGAGAGAAGUGGGAUGUGGCAACAGGCACUAUUGAGGUUACCACUUCAGAGAUGACCUUCCUCGCGGGAGGAGUUGCAGGAGUUGGAGAGGCUUAACUUUGCGCAGCAAGAACUGACUCCAUCAUGGCAGUCAGUCGGGCAAUCUUCUCUUUCAGAUCUCAGUUCUCUUGUUUAAGGUGUUCUAUGAUCUUCUAUUGAUUUGCUCGAGUGUUGUACCAGUGUGUCAGCUUGUCUUCAAAUAAAUAAAGAGCAAAGAGUUAGACCACUGUAUCAAGAGCUCGGAACCAAAACCAGCUUAUGCAUAUGAUGCAUGCAAUGCUUGUGCAUAUGAUUUGUUUUUUAUCAGAGGAACUCUAUAAAGAUCUAUUUGCAAAUGUUUUGAAGAUAUUGAACUUUUUAAGACAUAUGUGGAAUACUCAUAGCAAUAUAAUAUUUGGAAACUUUUUACACCAAAGAAGUUGUACAAUCUCGGUAACCAAAUACAAUAUAAGAGAAAAGGAGAACAAACAUCCUAUGGAGCCUUAGAAUCAGUCAUCCAAAGCCUUCGAGAUCGGAAGAUACAUCGCAUGAAGCCUCUUCACCUCUCUCUCAUAAGCUGCUUCCAUGUCGGUCUUCUCCUUGGCGAGCUGAUCAUAUCUCUUUUUCCAAAACCUAGACGAGUGAGGCAGGAGAGAAGUAACCACAUCAUCGGGCUCAUCAAUAACCUGAUGCUCUAGAAACUCGAUCAUUGCAUCCUUAUCCUUGAGCUGCUGAAGAAGCUCCUCGCGCUCACGAACCUUAGCACGCGAACAAUCUUUGUCUCUCAACUCCUCUACUCCUUGAUUGGGGAGGGUUGAAGGCCCAACCAUAAUCAUAGGGGUAGGUCUCGGAUAUGCGUACGACAUGCGAUACUCGAGGGAUCUCUUCCUUACCCAAGAGGUGUAAGGCUCCAAAGCGACACAGUUCUUCGGACCAAGCUCAUUCCUCCUUUCCUAUGAACCUUGCGCCAGGCGCGGACCAACCUAUCCUUCAAGUUUUGGGGAUCUAUACCCUCUUGAAAGAAUAAUCCUUCCAACAAAAUGUUGUUAGGUUUAUCCUUUAAGGGGAACCCAAGCUGACGGCGAGCCAAAACAGGGUUGUAGUUAAUUCCACCACAUGUACCAAGAAGAGGUACAUUGGAGAACUCACCAUAAAGAAUCAAUAAUCUGAACGUCAUCAUAAACACGAUUAUACCAAAAGAUAUCAUCAUUAGUGAGAGACAUAAGUCUCGUGGACCACCGUAGACAUCCCUUGUUCUCCUUGAAGGCAAGCGUCUGAGGCAAGUGUGAAAUAAACCACUUGUACAACAGAGGCAGACAGUAUACAAUGGAACUACCACCCUUUGCAUUCCUCAUAUGCAAAGAGAAAUAAGUGUCACCCAACAGAGUCGGAACAGGAUUAAGAGAAGAGAAAAUCCUAAUAGCAUUCACAUCCACGAAGUUGUCGAUGUUGGGAAAUAACACUAGCCCAUAGAUGAGGAGUACAAAUAUGGCUUCAAAAGCUUCCUUACUCAUGGCCUUCCCAAACAAAGUAGCUUUGGCAAUCAGAAAAUCAGACGGGAGACCUUGAAUUCCACCUUUGGUAGUCAUAUUGGCAACAAUGUCGGAUACCUCCACAUGAAGCAAGUCAGCAAUCUCUUGAGAAGACGAAAUCUUCUCCAAACCACUGAACGGAAAUCGGUCAAGAAUAGGUAUACCCACAUGAUAAUCAUACUCCUCCAAUGUAGGAAAAAGCUGGAAAUCCGGAAAAGUGAAGCACCGAUACAGAGGAUCGUAGAACUGCACCAACACACUCAUCAGACCCUCAUCUACCUUGGUAGAGAGAAUAGAUAGAAGCUUCCCAUGGCGAGCUUUGAAUUCCAAGGGCUCUAAUACAUAAGAUUUCAGACGCCUUAACUCUCUCAAGUCGGGUUGUCUGAAACUGUACUUCUUCGUAUUCCUUCUUUGCUUAUCCAUGUCUGAAAAUUUGCGAGUAGACAUUUUAAGUUCCUUGUAAAAUCUUAUUGUUGAUGACAUGAAUACGGAUGAAUACAUGAAUGCAUGGAUGCAACAAACACACUCAAGGAUCAAGCAAGUCACACCACACAAAGGUCACGGGAUGGCUCAAGUCAUCGUCAACAUCAAUCAUCCAUUUUGGUGGAUUAUGGUUUACACAUUAUCAACACCCAAGUUCCAUUGAUUUUGAGGAUAUACAAGAACGGAUCAACCGCGAAUCACGAGUUUGUUGUAAGUCACGAGCAUGGAGUCUCGGUUAAGAACCACCCAACAGGAGUGUACUAUGGUUAAACCUGACAAUCAUGUUCUAAAAGGUUCUCAUAGUCAUCAUACCAUCUUUCGGAUAUUAUCGGAUAAAACGACUACUCGUCUUCCAAAAAUAUUCUCAAGAGGGACUCUUAUAAGUGUAGUAUCGCAUAACAAUCGCCUCAAGUAUUACACUUGAACGACCUUCGCACUACGUCCUAAAAUAGACCAAGAUGUGCUAGGUAUCUAAGGUCCUUGGUUUCUAGGGUUCCUAUUGGAAAGAGUAAUGCCUAACCACGACUACUCGUGUGACAUUAGUGAUCCCAAUAGAACCUUCACCAAGUGAAUGGACUUGCAAGUUAACUUGUUAAGGAAUAACUCCACACAAGUCAACAAGACUAUGCCAUUCUCCUAUCAUAAGUGCACUCGAGUUCGGGUAUAGAACUCAUCUCACAGAAACGCAAAGCAUACAAGCAAUAUAUCAGCAAUUCAUUACACUACAACAAUACAUCAGCUCAAUUUGCACAAAAAUAUGCCACAAAUAAAUAAACACAACCCUAUACCAAGCAAAAAGUAGGCUAAACCCACGGGGCUGUAUCCGCCAGCAGAUCGCCACUUUUCUGUAGCGGGGUUUCGUUAGCUUUAGGUUUAUGUCUAACCAAAAGUCAGCUACAAUUCGAGUCGCCACCGCACUUUUAUUUGUCCAAAGGAAAGGCUAAAAUGAACAAAAGCCAAGUAAGAAGUUUCAAAUCAAAAACUAAUAAAAAUGUCAGAGAUCUCAGGUAAGGGGGUUGGUUAUGAAAUGGGAAGGUUUUACGCACCCAAAACAUCCUUAGUACUCUAAGGGAACCCUUUUUGCAAAUAUGUGUUGUAGGUUGGUAUUUGUGAAAAGAUUUGUGCAACAGAUUGGAGGGAUGAGAAGAGAAUAGAUUAUAUUUACAAAUUUUAUUGUUUGAAUGGAUGAACCCAUUGCCUACGUACCAUCACAAAGGAGGAUCAAAACCUCUUAGUUCGGGGUAAAAAUCUUAAAAGAUUGGUGAAUUGAUUUUAAUCAAAAUCCUUAAAGUCUUUUAUUAUCAAAGGGAGAAAAGUCAACCAAAACCAACAAUCCACCAUGUGAGGAAGGCUUCAACAUGCUAGUGAAAGGUUAACCCUAUAAUAAGCAUGGAAGACUUAUAAUCCAACACUAAGGAUGAGGUGAGAUUUACAUCAACCACCAUGAUAACUCAAACCUAUGACUAAUGUUUUUGAAAAGGUCUUAACAAAGUGGCCAUUGGAACCAUAAAACAACUUGAAAUGGGUUAUAUCUACAACUUAGGUUUAUUUACAAAAUGAAGUCAAAGUUGGAUUUAAAGUUUAUUUACAAUGAGUAUUUAUGAAAAUGUUUUUGAAAAGUCAAAGGCUUAAGGCCUAGGUUUCUAAUUUGAAAUAAAGUCAAAGUUUUGAAAAUGAUUUUUGGCUUGGUUAGAGUGGGGAGAAGAGAGAAGAACUAUUCCUAAGCAAACAAAGACAAGAGGGGAAAGAUAACCCUUGGAGUUCCUUUUCUUGGAGUCAUAUAGAUGACUCAAGAUGCUCAUUUCCUUUGGACUUAGCACACAAACAAGCAAUCAAUAAGUUGAAUUCAAGCUUCUAGGAUCUCCAUUUGGCUUGGCUCUUAACUUGGCUACUCAUGACAAUGGUCCUCUUUUCACAAUCUUAAGAUGGGAUCCCUAUCACACAAAAGCAAACAUCAAAAAGAUCACAACACAAUAAAGGGAAUGGACAAAGAAUAAGUUUUGAGGAGAAGUCCUUUGAAGUCAACUUUGAAUUUUAGCAUUCUAAAGGUAUGAGGCCUAGUUGCUCUUCAACAAAUUUUGCAUUCUAAAUGAAUGAGGCCUAGUUGCUCUUGAACUCCUUUAAGCAUGGGUAAAUCCUAAUUCUAAGUCCUUUCUCCUUUUUUCGUUUUGGUUCACAUCAAAACAAACACAAACAACACAAAAUAGCAAUAUAUUUAUAUACAAUAAUGGGCUCAAAUGAGCAAAAGAAAAAUGGCAUAAACAUAAAAUAUGUGCUCAAGUGAGCAAAGAUGAAAAUCAAGAUGAAUAAUGAGCAAGAAGUAAAUGACAUUAAAAUUAAAUGACAAGAAUUUAAAAGCUCAAAUUAAAGUUAGUAGUUAGUAAGAGUUAUGUUAGCUUGUCAUAAGACAAUGUAGCGCUAUGUUAAGCAAUCGUAAGUGGACUAAUGUAGUAGUCACACCUAUCUGAGGCCGGUCAAUAAGAAUAUAGGCAAAGAACACAAGUUAGAGAUCAUGACUAGUAAGCCAAGCUCCAUAAACUUGCCAUGUCAAACAAAAGGGGAAGGGCCUUGUAUUGACUUUUUGGUUAUUUGCCUGACCAAGAAGUAACCUAUCUUUGACACAAAAUAACUCACUUGAUCAUGGAUCAAGUUGAGUUUGGUUUGGAUCAAAGAAGAUUAAACUCCUAUUUGUCAAGACCAACCUCAAGACUUUAACUCAUUGGUUAUUGAUGGAAAGAAAGGGAUGAAGAUGAAAGGGAGGGGUAAGAAGUCAAUAAACAAUCCCAAUUGAUCAAGGGAUAACUCAUCCUUGAUCAAAUUCAUUCAUCUUUCUAGGUGAUGAUCCUUAAGGAUUUUCUAACCACAAGAUUCAAUGAAUUUGAUCAAAGUUGAAUCAAUUCAACCUCAAUCGACAGCAAACAGAAGAGAAAUGAAGAUAACAAGUCAAGAAGUCAACAGCAUUUUUUUGGUAUUUUUUAAAUUAAAAUAAAAUACAAAUAAAAAAUAAUCAAAACAAAUGGAACCUCAAAUUCAAUUCAAAGUAGCUUCAAAAAGUCCAAUUAAAUUCUCAUAGGUUCAACAUAGUCAAACAAACUUUGACUAAUUUUCUCACAGAUUUUUGAAAUCAGAAAGUAAUAAAAAUCAAUUAAAAAACAACCAAAAAUAGCAUAAUAUGAAUUAAAAUCUCAAAUAAUCUCAAAACAAACAAGAAAUUAUUGAGACUAUUUUUCAUUGACUAAUCAUGAUCCAUAGAUGCUAUGAAAAUAUUUUUGUAUUUUUUAAAAGUCAGAAAGUAUUUUAAAUUGAAUUAAAAUCAUUAAAAACCAAGUAAUUCAUAAAAAAUAUCAAAUGAAGUCACAAAAAUAAUUAAAAAUCAUAAUAUGAAACUAGAUUUUUCAAGAAAUAUUUUGGAAUUGGUCUCAUAUUUUUCUGACUUCAAAUGAAUUUUUAAUGAAUUUUUGAAAAUGAAAUGAAUUAAAAGAAAAUAAAAAGAAAAUGAAAAUAAGCGAAAAAGCCUGAGCCACAUGAUGCAUUUCAUUAAUUGACGUGGCACUUAUGGAUGGUCCAGAUCUGAGGACACACGUUACUCAUAAGUCAAACGCGUCACAUGGUGAAUUAAAUGAAGUAAUUGAAACGGAUGCGUGAGAUUAGAUCGUGGAAGCAAGAUCCAAUGGCCAGGGAGUAACACACGUGGUGGUGGUAGUUGAAACCACCGUCUUCUCCGGCGAAGCAACAAAUUCCGGCCAAAAGUUGCAGAGAAAUGAAACUUAAUGAAAAUGAAAAACAAGGCCAUGGAAAUAAAGCUCUUGUGAUGUAGAUCAUCACUGUACCAUUGGAUUUCCUUAUGAGGACUUCAGAGAACCACAGAAACACAAGCAAACUACAUUGAAUUAGGAGUUUCAGAUCCAAAAAAUUUGAACGGAUACCUUUAAAUUGAUGAACUUCUGGCCACAAAUUCUCCAAGAUCCUUGCUCCUCUUUGAUCCUUGAGUGUAAUGGAAGUGAUUGGCUAAGGAAUCUGGCUUUAAAACUCAGCUAAUGAUGCUGAAUUUCAAGCUCGAAAAUCUGGAAAAAAAAUUGAGUGAUUCCUUUGGUGAGGGUUAUGGUAUCACUUCUGCAGCACUUGGGAUCUCCAAAAGGUUGUGGAAUGAAGCUCAUGAGGGUGCUAUUUAUAGCUGAAUGUGGCUGAUCACACACUUCUCUCAUGUGCACAGAAUUUGAAUUUUUGAUUGCAUGGGCCUUUGUGGACGUGUAGAAGGCCCAUGCAUGGCUGAAGCAACUUGCUGAUAUCACAUGAAAGGCAUUUGGUCGUGUGCAUUGGACUGAAGCAUGCUUGCAAUUCAAGUUUUAGCAUAAAAUAUCAAGUAUGCACAUAAAUGAAAAGAAAUUUGAAUCCCCCAAAUGGUAGAUCCAAAUGAGCAUUGUGAGUAAUGGUUGGAAAGCUCUUGAAAUAAGGAACAAAAGUCAUGUUGGGAAAAAAUCAUUUGGCAUGUUCAAAUUGAUCAAAAUUGGCUGGGAAAAUUCAAGUACAAAACAUGUUCAAAUCAUUUUGAAAAAGUUCACCAAAAGUAAGCUCAAUCAAGCCCUUUUGUUUUCAUGAUACAAGCUUCAAAUGAAAACAUAUCCAACAUAAAAGUUGUAGAUAUUUUCAUGAUGGUAAAUAUAGACCCAAAUUUUGCAUCAUUUGGAUUUUAUAUGACAAAGUUAUGGGCAUUUGAAGUUGGUUACUUUUUCAAAUUCAAUGAAAUAGGUCCAAGAUGACCUAUAAUGUUUUGCAUUAUCACAUGUAUUUUCUUUAGGAUUAUGAAAUUUUGUCCAACAUAACAUUUGAAUUAGAUGUAUCAAGAUUUCCAAUUCCUUUGGUCUCACCUCAAAAUCAAAAAAUUAAGGAAGUUAUGCCCUUGGAAAGUUGACCCAAAAUUAGGGUUUCAGUCAAAAUGACCUAUAAUGUUUUGAAAUGAAUGAUGACCUUCCAAGCUUCAAAUGGAUUUUUUACGAACAUUAAAGUUGUUCAUAUGGUUCUUAGGAACAUUAUGUUCUAGAGAUUCGCUAAUGCUGAUGAUCACUUCAUUGUCUCCUAUGUUCUGGGAGUCAAAAUGGUGAUAACUGAGAAGUCCAUUGUUGCUCUUCUGGGCAUGGAAAAAGAUGGAGGCAGAAGAAUCUACAACAUUAAUCCUAGGGCCCAUGAGAUUAAGCCCAAUAAUCUUUGCAAGCAGAACACUGAAGCAACCUCUCAAGAAAAGAACUACAUAAAUGAAACCUAUGUGUCUGCUAAGAUCAUUCUAGGGUACCAUCUUCAAACUCCUCAGACUACAUCAACACAGACCAGAAGUGCAUUCUGUACUGCAUCCACAAGGGUCUAAAGCUCUGCCUUCCAGCACUUCUUUUCAAGUAUCUCAGAGAUUCUGUACGUGAUACAAGAAACAACAUGAAGCCCAGAAACUACAUUCCUCUGGGAAGGCUAAUCUCCGACGUUCUGAUUGAAAGCCGCCUUGUGGACCACCUGUUAAAGCUCAGACUCAUGGAAGACGUGAUGAUCGAUAUUGGAAAACCUCUCAACGCCAAAAAUCUGAAGAGCAUGGGGAUUCUGGAUCAAGUCAAAUUCAAACCUACUCUGGACACCUCCUGGGAAGCUCUCAAAGAUCAAAGGGAGAUCCCCAAUGGACUCUAUCUGUUCUCAAAGGAAGACCCCCGAGAAGUAAUCCUCUAUUAUCUAGAUGAUCUGAAGAAAGAAGGAGUGGAUAUCUCAGAUUUCAACAUAAUCCAGCUACCAGAUAAGCCUCCAAACAUCAUGAAGCGUCCACGAGGACCCUCUGAAAAGGCGAAGCAAGCUAAGAAGGCAAGAUUAGGAGAAUCCUCCGAAUCAAGACCUCCAGCACCUCUGACUAGACAUUCUGGUAAGUCUAUUUCUCUUACUCCCUCUGCACAAACACAUCCUAUUGCUUCUUCUAUUCCUCAACCAACACCUAUUUACACAAACUCAGAAACCCCUCCCUCCACCACCAGAAUAUCUCACCAACCAUCCCAGAAAUUUAACCUUGCCACCACAACCUUACCUCUUUCUGACGCAGAAAUGCUGAAUGAAACCACCUCAUCAUCUUCUUUUCCAGAAUCACCCCUUUACUACAACAUUUCCACAGACACAGAACAUUCUGACCCCUCAUCCCCCACUCUGGCCCAACUUCAAGCUCAAACUCUGGCCUCGCAACAGCCAACACAAACCACACCUGAACCUGAAGUCACUUCACCACCCGCAGAACAACCAAACCCAACACCAUCUAACCUUCAACCUUCUGAACCAAAUAACUCUGACAUACACCCACCAAAUACAUCCGUUGAACCACAAACUCCCACUUUAAACCUAAGCCCUCCCACUUCUCCACCUCCACCCUCUGAACCAGAAAACACCCUGCCAACCCUAGAGGAAGCAAUAGUGCUGUUUGUAGGAGCCUCAGUUGAUAAGGUCAAGUCUCUGACCAUCAACUCUGGCAUCAGUGAUGAUCCUUCAGCUGUUAGGACACACUGGAACAGAGUUAUUGGAUGGAUGACCUCUGAAGCUUUCAAACUGAAUAUCCUCUCUGAGCAAGUCAGAAACAACUUCAUCAGAGACGCUGAAGUAAGACUACAAGAGCGCCUAGCCAGAGAAACUGAGGAGCAAGCCCGAAAGGAAGCAAAAGAGAAAGCAAAACAAGAGGAAAUGCAAAGACUUAGGGAAGCUGAAGCCAAAGCUCUAGAUGACGCUGCUGCUGCUGAAGCUGAAGCAAAAGCUGCUGCUAAAGUUGAAGCUAAAGCCGCUGCUGAAGCUGAAGCUCGUCGUGCUGAAGAAUCUGCCAACAGGGUAGAACCGGAUGCUCUGACUCAGGGGGAGUCUUCCACCUUUGUCCCUCUGGUUCUCAAGACACUUGAAGAUCUUCAGAAGGAGCAGAAAGAAGUCCGAUCUAGAUUGGAUCAACAGGAUUCAAUCAAUGUCAUCAUUCAGAAUCUGCUGACCCAGCUGCUUCAGAGGAUGCCUCCACCUCCAAACCCUUAGGCCCCUAGGAUUUUUUUUNNNNNNNNNNNNNNNNNNNNNNNNNNNNNNNNNNNNNNNNNNNNNNNNNNNNNNNNNNNNNNNNNNNNNNNNNNNNNNNNNNNNNNNNNNNNNNNNNNNNNNNNNNNNNNNNNNNNNNNNNNNNNNNNNNNNNNNNNNNNNNNNNNNNNNNNNNNNNNNNNNNNNNNNNNNNNNNNNNNNNNNNNNNNNNNNNNNNNNNNNNNNNNNNNNNNNNNNNNNNNNNNNNNNNNNNNNNNNNNNNNNNNNNNNNNNNNNNNNNNNNNNNNNNNNNNNNNNNNNNNNNNNNNNNNNNNNNNNNNNNNNNNNNNNNNNNNNNNNNNNNNNNNNNNNNNNNNNNNNNNNNNNNNNNNNNNNNNNNNNNNNNNNNNNNNNNNNNNNNNNNNNNNNNNNNNNNNNNNNNNNNNNNNNNNNNNNNNNNNNNNNNNNNNNNNNNNNNNNNNNNNNNNNNNNNNNNNNNNNNNNNNNNNNNNNNNNNNNNNNNNNNNNNNNNNNNNNNNNNNNNNNNNNNNNNNNNNNNNNNNNNNNNNNNNNNNNNNNNNNNNNNNNNNNNNNNNNNNNNNNNNNNNNNNNNNNNNNNNNNNNNNNNNNNNNNNNNNNNNNNNNNNNNNNNNNNNNNNNNNNNNNNNNNNNNNNNNNNNNNNNNNNNNNNNNNNNNNNNNNNNNNNNNNNNNNNNNNNNNNNNNNNNNNNNNNNNNNNNNNNNNNNNNNNNNNNNNNNNNNNNNNNNNNNNNNNNNNNNNNNNNNNNNNNNNNNNNNNNNNNNNNNNNNNNNNNNNNNNNNNNNNNNNNNNNNNNNNNNNNNNNNNNNNNNNNNNNNUGAUUUGCUUGUUGCUUUUUGUUGUGUUUGUUCUCGCUUUCUGCUGUUUGUGUUUUCUAUCUGAAUAUAUAUAUAUAUAUAUAUCUGCCUUUCCUUUAUUUUACUAAGUCUUUUUGAUUCUGACAAAAAGGGGGAGAACUAAAAACAGCUCUGAUGAAAACAUAUCUAAAUCCUUUCAGUACUCUGCAAACAUUGUUUAAAAAUUGGUUCUAAUCGCUUUUGACUUAGACAUUUGCAGAAGAGUAUCUAGAAACAUCAUCUCAUGAAAGCUCUGGUAAGAACUUCUGAACUCCUAGUCUUAUCUCAGGGGGAGCUCACUUCUAUCUGAUCCAAAAAAUUCCUAUCUAAGUGUUUCAUCUCUAAAAAUUAAGAUUGUUUUGUCAUCAUCAAAAAGGGGGAGAUUGUAAGAACAAAAUUAGUUCUACAAUAGAGUUCCAAGAUUUUGAUGAUAACAAAGGAUGAAACCAAAAAUGGCACCCUAACGAAAAUUCUCUAAGUGUGCAGGACUCUGAACAACAACAAAGGAAUCUGAUCGUUUUAUCAGAUACAAACCUUGGGCAGAUACAAAGUUCUAGAAGAUCAGAAGCAUAUGAGGAAGAAGUGCGCUUUAGAAGCUCUGACUCUGAGCAAAGCAAGAAGGAAGAACCAGAAGCUCUAAACAUCCACUGGACUUAGUUCUGAUGAUCUAAAAGACCAGUACUCUUAGAAGCUCUAAUGUAUCCUCAACGCAAUCUCCUUCUGACACAGAAACUCCGAGAUAACAGAGACUCUGAUGAAGAUUCUCCAAAUCCGGAAAGAAUUUCUUCAAAUGGAAAGGAAGUAUUUUUUAGAAAGAAAUCAUUCAGGGAGACAAAUUGAUUAUGGCAAGAAACACAGAAGUAAUGACAUUGAAUGCUCAUCAAAGGCCAAUAUUUUGUCAUCACUCCAACGGUCCUCUUCACCACUAUAUAAAGGACAUCAUACUUCAGUGAGAGACACACAACAACGCACAGAAAAAUUCUUUACAUUCUCUCUUAGUUUUCACGAGCUGCUGCUCAUACAUGAAACACUUGCUUGAUUAUUCUGCUGUAAUAUUCGCUUACUCUUAGAAGCAAUCUUAUUACAAUUUAUUUCUUGCUAAUUUGAUUUUGUUCCUCAAGUGACUCUGCGUAGUCUGUAUACUUGGGAGGACUAAGAGAUCACUCUCUUAGACGUUUGGUUGUAUUAAUCUUUCAAGAUUAGUGGAUUAAGUCCUUGUUGAAGGCGAAAUCACCUUGGCUGGGUGGACUGGAGUAGCUUUGUGUUAUAAGCGAACCAGUAUAAAAUUCUGUGUGUUCUUACUUUUGAAAAAGCUUUUAUUUUCUAAAACAAUUCAAACCCCCCUUUCUUGUUUUUCUCACCUUCAACAUGAAGGGAGGAAUUCAGUUCAGAAUUAAAGGAGAAUUGUCAUUACUGUCAUAACAACGUCUUCUCAAGGGAACCAUCAAGAAUUUCCCCAACCUUCACUACAUAACCUUCCACUCACACAACCGCACGAUUUCACCAUCUUCCUCACCUUCUCCAAUCUUCACAACAAACUUCUCGCAACGACAAACCUCACCCUUUACCCUGUGAACUCUCUGGAUCUCCCUCUUCACGUCUCCACAAUAGCAGAAAACCCUCCUCAUUCUUCAAAAGGGUUUUCACCCUGUUCUUCACCCAUAACCGCCGCUUCAACCUCACCCUUUUCACAACCGUUACAAUCAACCACCCUUAAACCUCAACCUUCAUAACUUCCCUUCAUUCAACAAACCUAACCCUCCAUUUUUUGAACCUGCCAAGAACCGCAAAUAAAAUCACAGAAACUGAAAGAAAACAAAGAAGAAUAACACAGAAAGAGAAGCAGGGAAGGUUGCGAAUCGGACCCAGAAAGGAAGAAAGAAGCAAAAACUCGCUCUCACCUGCUCGGAAGGGAUUCGUCGUCGUCGCAGAUCUUCAUCGAUCAUGAGGCAUCGAGGGUUCUCGUCGAUUACGACGCAUCGUGCACCUCCAUCAAUCGCGACAUAACGAAUCGACAAGGCACUGACACGGAGUAUCGUCUUCAACUUUCACCUAACGCAACGAACGCUUAAUCCAAGAAGAGGAUUGAAGCCGGUAGGUGUUUCUUCCUUCUUUUUUCUCUAUUGCACGCUCGAUUUCGAUCCCAUUUCAUUUAAACAUCGAGAUCUCUCGCGAAUUUGUUGUCGUUCUUGUUUUUUCCACGGUGAGAUAAAUUGUUCUUGUUGAUUUUCGUUGAUGAUUGCACGAGAUCUUGAAGCGAAAUCUUGAAGCCGUUUCUUGGUGAAGAACACGUGAGGCGAUGAAGGCUCUGGACACGUUGUCGAUGAUAGGAGUUUGGACGCGUUGGUUUUGGUUGUUCUUCAAAGAUCCGGAUCAGGCCAAUUGGAAUUUGGGCUGGGGCCCAAGAAAAUUUCUUUAUCCCCCCUCCAAUUAUCACACACCAGGCCUAUAACCCAUGAUUAUUCAUGUUAAUCCCCAUUAAUCAUGAUUAGUCAUUAUUUAAUCUAUCCAUUUUAAUUCUAAUUUUUGUGUUAAUCAUGAUGCUGAUUGUUUUGGUAUGAACUAGAUUAAUUCAUGUUUUUUUUGUUAAUUAGGAUUAGCAUAAUUUUUUAUAGGUUAAUAGAUACUUAGACUUAAUUAGAAUAAUUAGGUAUAAUAUGUUUAACCAUUUCUAGAUUAGAUUAAAAUUCUAAAUUUUCCAGAAUUAAUUUUCAUUUGAUUAAGCAUGCCAUUAUUAGGCUUUAGUCCUUAGAUUUUGGCUAUUUCAUUUGUGGAUUUAUGUUGCGAUUAAUAUGGUUAACGUGCGAUUUUUCCAUGAUUAGAACUUAGGUUAAUUUCCACUCAAUUCAAUUUGUGUGAUCAUAGUCAUUAGGUUCGAUUCUUGAAUUUGGAUUGGUAAUUUCCAUUUGAUUAAUUGUGAUUCCCAACCUAUGUUUAGAUAGAUUUUAAUUCGUAGAAUUAAUAGUCACUUUAAUUGUCCAUUUAAUCGAUUCUUUGGUUUAUUAUCAUUUUGAUUAAAUUGAAAAUCCCAUUUCAAUUUAGGUGAAGAAUACUUUGUAUGUCCAAUUUCAUUUGCCAUGAUCAUAGGAUAGAUCUUGAUUACUUUUCAUUGAUUUAUCCAUUACCUUUUGAAUUGAUUCUAACCAUUGUACAUAUUUGCAUAUUGUUGCAUCAUCCUUAUUCAUUCUCAUUCAUGCUAACUCGUUUGUUGUUUUGUGUUGUCACAUAUGACUUGGAGAAGCAAGCUCACUCUUAGCUAGCCAUGCUCCUAACUAUUCCAUUUUCAUUCAAUAGCUUUGUAUUGUUUGAAGUACCAUGUCACUUGUAUGCCAUUGGACAUGGUACAUAGUUAAUAGUUUGUAACUUGUAUUUUCCUUUCAUUCUCUUUCCAUUGUAUUGUAUGGAUCUAUCCCCCAUUGUGGAUUAAAUACCCCCCCCCCCCCCCCACCCCCCCCCCUCCCCUUAAUCAUGUAAUAGCUUAGUUUUAUUGUUUUCUAGAUAGUUUACUAUGCAUGUUAAUAGUCAAAGAUAAAAUAUAAAACGAUAAACAAAGCAUUUCAAAAGAAACAAAAGGUACUUGAUUCAACGUCAAGUUGUUUUCCGAAUAAACUUACACCAUGGUAACGUGAAUACUUGAUCCAACAUCAAAUAUUCUCCAUCCACUUCAUGAUCCAUUCUAUCAUCUCUCCUUCAUUCUCUUCUUAACCUCAUUCUAUCUCUCACCUUCAUUCUUCACUCACUAUUUUCAUAAUAAAUUCAAAACACUUGAUUCAACAUCAAGUUCCUUUUUUUCAAAACAUUUUUCAUAACAAAUUGGAAUGCAAAUGGGGUGUACGUGUUUGUACAUAAUAUUCAAGUAAUUGGGUUGUCAGUCGUACCUAGCCCGAGGACCCGACACUUGACUUUCCCCCUUAAAACACCUAAUGAUUCAAACAAGUUAGAUCUAGGUGCUAUAAGGAUGAAAAAGAAUAGUUAGGACUUCAUUGUUCUCUCAAUUCCCAAGUACUUUGAUAAUUGACCGUACUUAGUCAAGGGUCGAAUACUUCUCGCCCUCUAAGUUCCAACGAUUAAACUUGCCAAACUCCUUUCAUAAUCAAAUCUCUUUUUUGGACGAAAAAGAGUGGUUAGGACAACAUUGUCUCCUUAAUUCCCGAGUUAUUGGACUGUUGACUGAAUCUAGCCAAGGGUCUAAUGCUUGUCUCCAUGCAUAAAAUCAACCCCAACAAAUCAAACCAUUUUUUGCCUUAGUGCACUCUUCAAAACCUUUCAAUAAGGACGUGUUACUUCCGUUCUACCGUGAACGAAGCUUAAGCCUCCAUGCGCGAGCAAGUAAUGUUUAACUGCUAGAGUGUGAACCAAGUGUAUCCCCUUUACCGCAAACAAGCAAAUACUUUCCGCUCCCAUGACAGAGUAUACAAGCAAGUGAACAGUAGCACGCGGACGUUAAUACUGUUUAGUAAAAACAACCAACCAAAUACUCCAUUUUUUAGCCGAACUACGAAGCUCUGACUUCCCUAUUGCAUGUGUGGGGAUACGUAGGCACGAGGGCCCAAAUCCUUGGCGAGCACACUAACUUAAAACUUAUUUUCUCUCCCAUCUCAUCUCUCAUCUCAUUCCCAAUAACAAGUAAUUUACAGAUAAAUAAACAUCCAUAUGCAUUUGAUACGAGCAAUUGGUUCCCAUGGAGUACCAUGGAUGUAAGGGGUGCUAAUACCUUCCCCUUGCAUAAUCGACUUCCGAAUCCUCUCUUGGUUGCGAGACCGUUUCUCUCAUUUGGGGUUUUAUCGCUAUUUUCCCUUUCCUUUGGAAUAAAUAAAAUCCGGUGGCGACUCUGUAUUUUUCGCGGCGCUUCAAAUAUUAAGAAGGAUUUAGUGAGAAUCUUGUGUGAUGAACCAGCUAGUGAAGCUGUUAGAGAAGUUCGACAAGAAGCUAUCGAAGGUUAAGCUAGAACAAGUAAACCCCAGAGAACCAUAAACAUGCCUGCAAGACUGUUGGGAUGUGUAAUCAUAUCAGAUGAUGUGGUCGAUGAUGAAGGUGAGUUUGUACACUAUGUCUUUUAUGCAGAUAUUGAGCCAUUUGAUGCAGAUGAAGCAUUAAAAGACUCAAGGUGGAUGAAAGCUAUGGUGGAUGAGAUAAAACCCAUAGAAGACAGUGAUAACUGGUCACUAGUCAAAUUGCCAAAAGGAAAGAAGGAAAUUGAUGUGAAGUGUGUAUAUAAAGGCAAGCUGAAUCCAAAAUUUGAAGUGAUUUGACAUAAGUCAAGACUUGUAGAAAAUGGGUUUCUUCAGAAAGAAGGAAUCGACUAUGAUGAAACAUUUGCACCAGUAGCUAGAAUCAAAAUAAUCAGGUUGGUUGUUGGUCUAGCCAAUAUGCAUAACCAGUUGAUAUGCCAGAUGGACAUGAAAUGGACAUUCUUGAAUGACCCUCUAGACGAAAAGGUGUAUGUGACAAAAGCAGUUGGUUUGUGAAACAAGACAAGGAAAGGAAAGUAUACAGGUUGCAUAAAACCCUGUAUGAACUGAAACAAGCUCCAAUAGCUUGGAAUAAGAAAAUAGACGGAUUUCUAAGAGAGAAAGAGUUUGAAAAGUGCACGACAAACAUGGUGUGUAUGUCAAGAAAAACAUAAGUGAGUUGCUUAUACUAUGUCUUUAUGUCAACGUCCUGUUAAUAACAUCAGUUGCAAGAAGGAGGUCGAAGACUUUAAAAUUGACUUAAGUAAGGAGUUUGAAAUGUCAGACUUGGAAAAUCUCUCAUACUUCCUUAGUAUCGAAUUCUACAAGAGUAAUAGAGGCUUGAUGAUAUACCAAAAAAGAUAUAAUGUGAAAUAAUAUGGUUGAAAUUUUUCUAAAUAUCAUAUAUUAAUGGCAAAUCAAUCUUGGUCCCAAUACAGUGAAAGAAUUCACCUUCUUCAAUCAUAAGAUAUUGAUGAGUUUGGUAUAGUAUAGCUACUUUACCUACCAAACAUAAAAUAAAAGUAAAGUAAACCUUUAGGAAUGGAAACAGUGGACCCUUGAAAGCACUAGAUUGGUAGUGCUCCUUCUAGUUUAAGUAAUCAAGUGGAUGAAAUCGAAUCUAUAGAUCAUUCUGGAAUCAUAUACUAAUCCAUAAUAAAACUCAGAAAACUAUAUGUCAUUAUCACAUGAAAUAGUUGAAAGAUUUUUACAUCAUGCAAGUACAGUACAUGUAUUAUUUAAUAACCAAUAGAAUUUGUGCAUGCAUGUAUCAAUUGUUAUACGAGGCAAAAAGUAGCAUCCUCCUCCAUUAUUGUUGUUGAUGGACCAUGAAACUUUUCGAGGGUUGACAAAAAAGAGAAGAAGAAAGUGUGUGUAUAUACAUUUUUCUUAGAGAGUAAGAAAUGGAAUGCAAAUCUUUGUGGUUUCAAUGUUGACAAACUGUCAUGCACUAUCCAAUAACGUACUGCCAGAUUACUACAAUAUUAUAUUCUUUUUAUAUUAAAAAAAUGCAUUUGAGGUGAUCUUUUUUCAUGAACUUGUGUUUAUUUAUUUAUUUAUGCAUGGUAAAGUAUUGAUAUUUAUAAAAUAAUUUAAUGUACAUAAGAUUAUAUGGAUGACAGAAAGGCAAACAGAUUUUGGAACCUAAAAGAAUAGGUAAAAUUUUGAAUGUUAUUUCAGUUUUAAAAUAAAUGUUAUAUUUGAUAUUUUUAUACCGAUUAAAAAUAUAUAAUAAAUGAAAGAGAGAAUAAUAAUUUUAUCAAAUUAUUUUUAUUAAUUAUUAAUUUAUUUUAAUUAUUAUUAAUAUAAUUUUAGAGAGAUAAAGAUAGGAGGUAUGAGUGGUUAUAGUUUUAUAUAUUUGAUUGUCUUUAGUUGUAAUCUAAAAUUAUAGAAAUGUACUUAAACAUUUUAUGAUAACUAAGUGAUUCAUGUAUGCCAAAUUAAAUAUAAACAAUAAGUAUAAAAAAUUAUUUAAAAUAUGUAUUAAAAAUAGGAGGGAGUGGGUUGAAUUUUCAAAUAAAAUAAGAAAAAGAAAAAGCAUUAUUUAAAAGGAAAAGAAAAGGCAUUAUUUAAACAGAAAAGAAAGAAAGAAAAAAGAAAUAGAAUACCAAGAAAAAGUAAAAGGAACUAGAUUCGUGUUUCUAAAUAAAUUGUUUUACAAACACUUAUUUUUCUCAUGCUUUUCUUUCAUAUCUAUAAAUUAGACCAAAACAUCACCACUCAUUUCCGAAAAAUAUAACCAAACCUCAAACAUAAUACAGAACAAAAAACAGAGAUACUCUGUUUUCAGAUUCUAACUCACACUUCAAUUUUUUUAUAUCAAACAGUUUUACUCAAUUCCAUGCUUCUAAUCCCAAACACCAUUGCAGUUUCUCUAGAAUCUGCUUUCAUAUACAUUGUUUACCAGCACAAAUUCUCAGUUCCUUUUAUCUAAAAAACAGAACAGAGUAACACAAAAAACAGAGCCUGUUCUGUUUUGUUCUGUUCCAUUAAGAAAAAUGGGUUCAGUCGUUUUGCACAAGCACAAAGCAGUGAAAUCCAACAAAGUUCAGAAACAUAGUCAGCUUCGAAAGAUUACGGAUUUGUUGAGGUAUGUUGAGAUGUGUGUUGUGUUGGUUUUGAUUUCAAGGCUUUCGUUUCAACAACUACCAUUGGCUUUGAAGAGUUCAAGCGAGUAUUUUCGAGGGUUCGAGGUUAGUCCUGGACUUGUUUUUCUGAUUGGGAAUGUUAUUAUUAUCACGCUCUUUGCUCAAUCUGGUAUUUUCUCAAAUGAUUCUUCAAAGAGAAAAAGUUCGGAACAUGAUAUGUAUCUCGAGUUUCUCCAGAAUAGCAACAUGUAUCAGAGAAUCCAAGGUUCUGAUCAGAGAAAAUCGAGUGUGAAAGUGGAGAGUAACGUAAAGGGUCGUCGAAUAAUAGACGAAAGCAUGGUGAAAAUCUCUGAGAAAGAUGUUAAGAAAAGUGAUGAACAGGGGAUGAAAACAGAGAUGGAUUUGGAAGUGAAGGAAUAUAGGAGGUGUCAAUCGGAAAUUGAGUUGGUGAGGGGUGUGGAUAGUGAUAAUGAGAAGGAUCAGAAAGUGCUGCAAAGGUGUGAGAGUGAGAAUGAAAAAAGAAAGAUGAGAAGCAUUGAAGUUGAUAAAGAGAAGAAAAAGAUGGUGAAGAAAUCGAGUUUAUAUCCUGAAGAUGGAAUGAGCAAUGAUGAAUUUCGUCGCACUGUGGAAGAAUUCAUUGCAAGACAACAGAAGCUUCGAUAAAUGGAGUUCAAAGCUUUUAUUUUUCCUAGCUAAUUUCUAUGGAAUUAGUAUCAAGAAUUGGAUUGGAUUGUAAUUUGUAGACUAAGAAGAUAAACCCUUUUCUGUUUUUUUUUUGUUCUUUUUAAUGAACAAACAAAUAUGUGAUGUAUUUUGUAUCAUCAUGUAAAUUAAGAUCAAAGGAAGUGUGUAAAUAACUUCUUGGAUAAUAAAAACUUGUGCUCAUUUAUUUAA
rnacentral:lncRNA from 1 species